rnacentral:pre_miRNA from 8 species
UAUAAAGGACUCUCUUCGGUGACGGGUAUUCUUGGGUGGAUAAUACGGCUCUCGUUGUUAUUGCUUAAGAAUACGCGUAGUCGAGGAGAGUCAUGUCGGC